rnacentral:misc_RNA from 1 species
GUUACAGGCAGGUUUAUGUAUUACAUUUACACCGAAGUUCCAUAGGAUUUACAUUUGAUUUGUUUCGCUCACACUUGUUUUGAGGCAAAAUUGAACAACAAUGUUUCGCGCCCAACCCUCAUUUGCCCGAUUCAAUCUCUUUUCAACUAGACAUUUCUGCACCAAACCCACCAACAAUAUCAAUAACAGCAGCAGCAGCAGCAGCAACGACAUGAUCGAAUCAAAAGUUAGUAAAUACGACGAGGCAUAUCGUCAAUUGGACAAGCUUGACUUCAUGACUGCCGCCAAGAUCCUCUUCACUGAACCCCCCAAGAAAAAGAAGUUCGGAAAAAAUGGAGAGAAAUCAAGGGAAGAGAAUUGACAGACCCUGCUAAAAGUAAUGGUACCUUAUGCUGAAUUUUGCUUUCAAACUUUCCAUUUUGAUUAUAUUCUCCAAACUACUUCUUUGGUAAAGUCAAUACAUUGGUGUCCAAAGAAGAAUUCUUUUAAGACCACCUCGAAUGAUCCAGAUAAGGAAAGGGAUUCCAUGAAAAAUUUUCUUUUCUACUUUGUUGCUUAGCAGAGUUCGGUGUGAAUAUAAUGAUUGGAAAAGCAAAACAGAAUCUUCAAGAAUGCAUCCACACCAUUUGAUCCCAAUAGACAAUCAUAAAUUUUUCUACCCAUUUCCUGGCACUUUCGGCCAUUUAUAGCUGAGGAGUGAAAUUGUUUCAAAUAGAAUAUAUUCCUGAAUGUAGUUGAGCAAUUUUCCUUUCAUUGAGUUUUGGUUUUCUCUGCUAGGUCCCUUCUUUUCCUUAAAUCCAUUUUUGUAGUCUCUUAAGACCUUAAACAUGCUACUAGGAUCAAGAUGUUACUUUAAAGACUAAUGCAUUAAAAAUAAUUACUUGGAUCAAUUUCUGGCAACUCUGGAAGAUCCAAUGGGGAGGCCUAAUUCUUCAAGUGUUAAUUGUGGUUAUAUGUGUGGGAUGUUGAACUAUAUCCCUAGUUUAAAAUGUGCUCAUCAAUGAUUCCCUGUUUAGUUCCUGACAUCUCUAUUUCAUUUUUGAAUGAUGUUUACUUAUAUAUAUCCAUUUUAUGUUCAGGAUCGAUUUUCAUCUGGUACAACUCUUCUUUGCCUGCAUGCCUUCAUUGGGUAUCUAAUCCACAAGUUUAGCAUAUUGCCAUAUUUUCCAUAUUUGAAAUAUCUCUUGGUUUUGUUGCUGCUAUCUAAAAGAGUGCAUUUUUUCUGUACAGCUGUAUAUUUGGUGGCUCAAUAUGCUCGCCAUGAAAUGAGAAAAAUGGAUGAGGAACUCGAGCUGAAAAAGAAGAAAGAAGAAGAGGAGAAAGCAAAAGAGAUGGAACUAAAAGCAAUUGAAGAAAAAGAAGCUAGAUCUAAUCCAGAGCUUUUGGAGGUGAAAGUGAGACUGGAUAAGCUAGAGGAAGCUGUCAAGGAAAUUGUGGUUGAUUCAAAGAAACAAUCAACUGACAAUGCAACAAAAAACCAGGAAGACAGUAGUAAGAAAAAACACAUUGCUCCAACUGAAUCUGGUGACGUCCAGAGCAAAUCAGAACCAAGCAAAUCCACGGAGAAAGACCUUCUUAGCAAACAGAAAUCUACUGGGCCAGCAUCAGAUAAAGGAAAGGUAACUGGAUUGGCACCAACUCCUGGUGCUUCCCAGCAGGAUCAAAAUAGAAAGACCCAAAAUUAAGGAAAUUCUGAAGACACCAAGAAAUGAAGAAUUUGUAAAUUUUGUAGAAAGGAAAGGGUUCAUUUUUAACAAAGCACUUAUCUGAUUCUGUAGGCUGUUUUGCCCCAGAAUCUAUGAGCGUCUUAACUUUUUUGGUCGGGAUAGAUUACACAGAUGCAAUAUUUAACAUUCCAAAUUGCCUAUUAUUCGGAGUUUUAUAUGCAAGUAUUUGAGAAAAGAAUGUUUGGUGAACUGACUCAUGAAGUUAUUUUCUUGUUGGGUUUGUAUUUUGUUUGCUUCAUCUAGAAAGUUUUGGAGUUGGCGAGAUUCGAGAGCCCAUUCUUCCUUUCUUAGUUGUGAUUAUUGACAAUGUUCUGUAGAUAUUGGAUGCUUAAAGUUGCUUAAUGCUUAA